UACAGAGGUCUCAAGCGUUGUUCGGAUUCAUUGGGCGUAAAGGGUGCGUAGGCGGCGCGGUAAGUCGGGUGUGAAAUCUUGGAGCUUAACUCCGAAACUGCAUUCGAUACUGCCGUGCUUGAGGACUGGAGAGGAGACUGGAAUUUACGGUGUAGCUGGUGAAAUGCGUAGAUAUCGUAAGGAAGACCAGUGGCGAAGGCGGGU
rnacentral:rRNA from 1 species